rnacentral:rRNA from 2 species
GAUUCCCCUAGUAACUGCGAGUGAAGCGGGAAAAGCUCAAAUUUAAAAUCUGGCAGUCUCUGGCUGUCCGAGUUGUAAUCUAGAGAAGUGCUACCCGUGCUGGACCGUGUAUAAGUCUCCUGGAAUGGAGCGUCAUAGAGGGUGAGAAUCCCGUCUUUGACACGGACUACCAGUGCUUUUGUGGUGCGCUCUCAAAGAGUCGAGUUGUUUGGGAAUGCAGCUCAAAAUGGGUGGUAAAUUCCAUCUAAAGCUAAAUAUUGGCGAGAGACCGAUAGCGAACAAGUACCGUGAGGGAAAGAUGAAAAGAACUUUGGAAAGAGAGUUAAACAGUACGUGAAAUUGCUGAAAGGGAAACGCUUGAAGUCAGUCGCGUUGGCCGGAAAUCAGCCUUGCUUUUGCUGGGUGUACUUUCUGGUUGACGGGCCAGCAUCAGUUUUGACCGGUGGAAAAAGUUCAAGGGAAUGUGGCAUCUUCGGAUGUGUUAUAGCCCUUGUUCGUAUACACCGGUUGGGACUGAGGAAUUCAGCACNNCUAACGGCCGGAUUUCGAUCACGUUCGUGCUUAGGAUGCUGGCAUAAUGGCUUUAAUCGACCCGUCUUGAAACACGGACCAAGGAGUCUAACAUGCCUGCGAGUGUUUGGGUGGAAAACCCGAGCGCGUAAUGAAAGUGAAAGUUGGGAUCCCUGUCAUGGGGAGCACCGACGCCCGGACCUGAAGUACUCUGACGGAUCUGAGGUAGAGCAUGUAUGUUGGGACCCGAAAGAUGGUGAACUAUGCCUGAAUAGGGUGAAGCCAGAGGAAACUCUGGUGGAGGCUCGUAGC